CUUCUACUCCCUCCGUUCCGAAUUACUUGUCGCACGUAUGGAUGUAUCUAGAUGUAUUUUAGUUUGCCGCACGUAUGGAUGUAUCUAGAUGUAUUUUAGUUCUAGAUACAUCCAUUUCAGCGACGAGUAAUUUGAAACGGAGGGAGUACAAA
rfam:Triticum aestivum genome assembly, contig: Triticum_aestivum_CS42_TGACv1_scaffold_407278_5BL